rnacentral:rRNA from 1 species
AUACGGAGGGGGCUAGCGUUGUUCGGAUUUACUGGGCGUAAAGCGCGCGUAGGCGGUAUAUCAAGUUAGGCGUGAAAGCCCCGGGCUCAACCCGGGAACUGCGCUUAUUACUGAUAAACUAGGGUCCGGGAGAGGGUGGCGGAAUUCCCAGUGUAGAGGUGAAAUUCGUAGAUAUUGGGAAGAACACCAGUUGCGAAGGCGGCCACCUGGACCGGUACUGACGCUGAGGAGCGAAAGCGUGGGGAGCAAACGGGAUUAGAUACCCCAGUAGUCC